rnacentral:lncRNA from 1 species
AUGCAAGUUGAACCACAGUUUCAUCAGUGGCUUUCCAUGAAGAUUUUUUUGCCUGUUUUGAUCUACAUGGACAGUUUCCAUUCUCUUUCUUUAUUGUAUUGCUCCCAAAUGUCUCAUUCCAAGGUGCUUGAAGCUUCAAAUCAAGCAAAUGUUUUCUGGCACCAGGUCUGGGGUAUGUCACUACAAUCAGGAGUGUGUAGCUUCCUGACUUCCUCCUCACUGGCAAGGAAAACUUGGAUAACUCACCCAUUGAAUUUGCUUCCAGAAAUUCAGUAAAAUGUGGACAAAGAAAUUUUAAAUGAAGCAAAUAAAUUGCUUUUGGUAGAACGAGGACA